rnacentral:rRNA from 1 species
AACGAACGAUGGCGGCAGGCCUAACACAUGCAAGUCGAGCGAGGUAGCAAUACCUAGCGGCGGACGGGUGAGUAACGCGUGGGAACGUGCCCCUUGGUACGGAAUAGCCCCGGGAAACUGGGAGUAAUACCGUAUGAGCUCUACGGAGGAAAGAUUUAUCGCCAAGGGAUCGGCCCGCGUUGGAUUAGGUAGUUGGUGGGGUAAUGGCCUACCAAGCCGACGAUCCAUAGCUGGUUUGAGAGGAUGAUCAGCCACACUGGGACUGAGACACGGCCCAGACUCCUACGGGAGGCAGCAGUGGGGAAUCUUAGACAAUGGGCGCAAGCCUGAUCUAGCCAUGCCGCGUGAGCGAUGAAGGCCUUAGGGUUGUAAAGCUCUUUCAGUGGGGAAGAUAAUGACUGUACCCACAGAAGAAGCCCCGGCUAACUCCGUGCCAGCCGCCGCGGUAAAAC